rnacentral:rRNA from 1 species
UACGUAGGGUGCGAGCGUUGUCCGGAAUUAUUGGGCGUAAAGAGCUCGUAGGCGGUGUGUCACGUCGGCCGUGAAAACCUGGGGCUUAACUCUGGGCGUGCGGUCGAUACGGGCAUCACUAGAGUUCGGCAGGGGAGACUGGAAUUCCUGGUGUAGCGGUGAAAUGCGCAGAUAUCAGGAGGAACACCGGUGGCGAAGGCGGGUCUCUGGUACGUGACUGACGCUGAGACGCGAAAGCGUGGGGAGCAAACAGG